rnacentral:rRNA from 1 species
UACGUAGGGGGCUAGCGUUGUCCGGAAUCAUUGGGCGUAAAGCGCGUGUAGGCGGUCCGGUAAGUCCGCUGUGAAAGUCGGGGGCUCAACCCUCGAAUGCCGGUGGAUACUGUCGGGCUAGAGUGCGGAAGAGGCGAGUGGAAUUCCUGGUGUAGCGGUGAAAUGCGCAGAUAUCAGGAGGAACACCAAUUGCGAAGGCAGCUCGCUGGGACGUAGCUGACGCUGGAGACGCGAAAGCGUGGGGAGCAAACAGG